GGGUUCUGCUAUCACUCUUGGAUGGGACCCUGCGGUGCAUUAGCUAGUUGGUAGGGUAAACGGGCCUACCAAGGCGAUGAUGCAUAGCCGAGUUGAGAGACUGAUCGGCCACAUUGGGACUGAGACACGGCCCAAACUCCUACGGGAGGCAGCAGUAGGGAAUCUUCCACAAUGGACGCAAGUCUGAUGGAGCAACGCCGCGUGAGUGAAGAAGGGUUUCGGCUCGUAAAGCUCUGUUGUUGGUGAAGAAGGACAGGGGUAGUAACUGACCUUUGUUUGACGGUAAUCAAUUAGAAAGUCACGGCUAACUACGUGCCAGCAGCGGUAAU
rnacentral:rRNA from 1 species